rnacentral:rRNA from 1 species
UACGUAGGGUGCGAGCGUUGUCCGGAUUUAUUUGGGCGUAAAGAGCUCGUAGGCGGCUUGUCGCGUCGGAUGUGGAAGCCCGGGGCUUAACUCCGGGUCUGCAUUCGAUACGGGCUAGCUAGAGUGUGGUAGGGGGAGAUCGAAUUCCUGGUGUAGCGGUGAAAUGCGCAGAUAUCAGGAGGAACACCGGUGGCGAAGGCGGAUCUCUGGGCCAUUACUGACGCUGAGGAGCGAAAGCGUGGGGGAGCGAACAGG